UAGGGAAUCUUCCGCAAUGGACGCAAGUCUGACGGAGCAACGCCGCGUGAGUGAAGAAGGAUUUCGGUUCGUAAAACUCUGUUGUUAGAGAAGAACAGCGCAUAGAGUAACUGUUAUGCGUGUGACGGUAUCUAACCAGAAAGCCACGGCUAACUACGUGCCAGCAGCCGCGGUAAUACGUAGGUGGCAAGCGUUGUCCGGAUUUAUUGGGCGUAAAGCGAGCGCAGGCGGUCAAUUAAGUCUGAUGUGAAAGCCCCCGGCUCAACCGGGGAGGGUCAGUGGAAACUGGUUGACUUGAGUGCAGAAGAGAAGAGUGGAAUUCCAUGUGUAGCGGUGAAAUGCGUAGAUAUAUGGAGGAACACCAGUGGCGAAGGCGACUCUCUGGUCUGUAACUGACGCUGAGGCUCGAAAGCGUGGGUAGCAAACAGG
rnacentral:rRNA from 1 species